UAGCUGGAAUUACAGGCACCUGCCAGCACGCCCGGCACUUCAUAACAAAUGCCAACAUCUCUUCCUGCGGCCCUACCACAGAGGAAGCUCAUCAGUUUCCCCUCCUGCCCAAAGGCAAAGCAACCACAGUGGAGGUGCCAGGGUCCUCCCUCACAACCUGCUGUCUAGUGCUUAUUCCUGCUUCAAGGCUAAGGAAGGGAAGGGCCCGUUUUGUUUUCAAAGGCUUUUUCCUUCCAGCCCUUGCUGUGCGGCCCGUUGUGUGUGGGAGAGACCAUGAGAGGCCUGGAUAUUGUCAACAAAAGACUUGAACAAGCCGAAGAGCUGAUGAUGUUGACAAGAAGGGGACCUUAAUAAGGCAGAUAAUCAAAGUUGAUGACUGACAGCCCCUUUGGCAUCCCUUCACCCUCUGCUAAAUCAGGUCUCUUACAUGAUCUUGAUGACAAAUAAUAAAAAUUAUAAACACA